rnacentral:rRNA from 1 species
UUCCGGUUGAUCCUGCCGGACCCUACUGCUAUCGGGAUAGGACUAAGACAUGUUAGUCGGGCGUCUCUAAGCCAUGAAAGAGACGCGGCGUACGGCUCAGUAGCAUGUGGCUAACCUAACCUAAGGACAGAGACAACCCCGGGAAACUGGGGCUAAUCCCUGAUAGGCGUGGACUCUUGGAAUGGAUUCACACCCAAAGAGCAUUUGAUUCAUGCUUCAGAUGUUGCCUCAGGAUGGGGCCGCAACCGAUCAGGUCGUUGGCGAGGUAACGGCUCACCAAGCCUAUAACCGGUACGGGCCGCGGGAGCGGUAGCCCGGAGAUGGACACUGAGACAAGGGUCCAGGCCCUACGGGGCGCAGCAGUCGCGAAAACUUCACAAUACGCGAAAGCGUGAUGGGGCUAUCCCGAGUGCCAUCCGCUGAGGAUGGCUUUUCUCCAGUGUAAGGCGCUGGAGGAAUAAGGAGAGGGCAAGCCUGGUGUCAGCCGCCGCGGUAAUACCAGCUCUCCGAGUGGUAGGGAUGUUUAUUGGGCUUAAAGCGUCCGUAGCCGGCUCAGAAAGUCCUCCGUUAAAUCCAACGAUUCAAUCGUUGGACUGCGGGGGAUACUCUUGGGCUUGGGGACGGGAGAGGUCGACGGUAUUCUCGGAGUAGGGGUGAAAUCCUAUAAUUCCGGGAGGACCACCAGUGGCGAAGGCUGUCGACUGGAACGAGCUCGACGGUGAGGGACGAAAGCUGGGGGAGCGAACCGGAUUAGAUACCCGGGUAGUCCCAGCCGUAAACGAUGCGGGCUAGGUGUUAGGGUGGCCACGAGCCACUCUAGUGCCGCAGCGAAGGCAUUAAGCCCGCCGCCUGGGGAGUACGGUCGCAAGGCUGAAACUUAAAGGAAUUGGCGGGGGAGCACCACAAGGCGUGAAGCGUGCGGUUUAAUUGGAUUCAACGCCGGGA